GGGCAACUUGGAGAUUGAGAUGUAGACAAAAUGGGACUUCAAUCAAUAUAGUAGUAGUAGAGUGCUGAUGGAAUUUGAAAUUAAAUGAAAGAAUUCCUAAACAGUUGAGAACCUUUGUCUCAAUAACCUCCGUUUAGGGCACAUAUCAGUUGUAAAAAGGAACUCUCACAUGUGCCAAUAUCUUUAUAGCGAUGCUCUUUGUGGUAACAACAACAACAACAAAAACUGGAAGUGGAUGUCCAUGACCUGUAAGAUGAUCUAAUAAAUAUUGGCACAUGAAUGAAAUGGUCUAUUAUUGCUACAUAUAUUGUAUAUACACAUAUAUAAUGAAUAUAAACAAUUCUGAGAAACCUGGGAAGAUUUGAAUGAAAUGAUACAGAGAAAAUGGCAGCUAGACUGAGGCAAUGAACCAACAUGGUCCCAGAGAACAGAGAUUGAAAUUUAUAUCCUUGCUGUGUAAAGAAAGUCUAUUCUUUCUUGCUCUCAAGUUAAAGAUCAUCAGAUGCAGAAUGGAUUAGACUGCAAUCUUUUGAGAUUUGAAGUUUCAGAAGUCCAGUGAGAGUACCAGGGAAACCAUGACAGAAAUUUAUUGAACCAAACCAAGCAACCAGGCUCUGAAGAAGAAUUUCUGGGGCCUGAUCCAGCAGCAAGUCAGACCAAAUAGUUGAGAUACCAUUUCAGAAGCAAACAAGUCCAUCAGCUAUGUCACUUUAUAAGCUCACUGACCUGUGGCAACAUGAGCAGAGCGAAGCACUGGUUCAUUGUGAGAGACCAAAGGUGGCUCACAACAGCUUCUAUUCUGUCCACAAUCCAGACACUUCCUUUGACAACAUCGUCUCCUUCCCUUCGGCAUCCCUCACAAAGAGAGACACAAAAGAUAAAAUGGAGUUUGGUGAUAUUCAACAAAUGUCUACCAAGAAGGGGAAAACAGUUAGAAAAUCCUUUUUUCAAAGGGCUAAGAAAGGUUUGGAAGGGCAAAUUGCUUCACUUUUUGCUGGUUGUAUAAAAGCAUCAAAUGUUAAAUUGGGUUCAUCUGGGU
rnacentral:lncRNA from 1 species